UCAGAAACACGGCGUCCUGGUGUCCCGCGGAGCGUCCUGCCCCGAGGGAUGAAAAGGGAACCGGGUGAGAAUCCCGGACAGACCCACUGCUGUGAGUCCCCGUAGCGUUUCCACGAAACACCGCAUCAUGUCCACUGUCCCUGCACAAGGGGUGGGAAGGACUUCGUGGAAGGGACGAGUCAGAAGACCUGCCAGACACACGCCUUUUGU
rnacentral:ncRNA from 2 species